AAGCUCACAUCUCUUCAUUUUUUUUUUGCUUCUCAGAGUUACAGGAUGCUCAUGAUUGGCUAUGGUUUAGUUUUGCGGAUGAGCAGAUGAAUAGAUAGAGUGUAAUGACACCUGAUCAGAGGAUUGAAGAAAUUUAAUUUGUAAUUAUGUAAGUUUUACUAAUUAUUAUUAGAAUUAGAUAUUAUGGAUGUUGAGGUUGUAAUGAAUUAGUUUUGGUCUUGCAUAUUCUUAAGGGCUUGCUUUAAGAAAUGUGCGGCCAUCACAUAUCCGAUCCGAAUGUUGGAUUCGGAGCGUAACAGUUUCAUUCUAAUUUCGAUUCCG
rnacentral:lncRNA from 1 species